AUUGAACGCUGGCGGCAGGCCUAACACAUGCAAGUCGAACGAGUGGCGGACGGGUGAGGAAUGUCUGGGAAACUGCCUGAUGGAGGGGGAUAACUACUGGAAACGGUAGCUAAUACCGCAUACCAUCGGAUGUGCCCAGAUGGGAUUAGAUAGUGGGUGGGGUAAAGGCUCACCUAGGCGACGAUCCCUAGCUGGUCUGAGAGGAUGACCAGCCACACGGGAACGGAGACACGGUCCAGACUCCUACGGGAGGCAGCAGUGGGGAAUAUUGCACAAUGGGCGGAAGCCUGAUGCAGCCAUGCCGCGUGUAUGAAGAAGGCCUUCGGGUUGUAAAGUACUUUCAGCGGGGAGGCGUUACCCGCAGAAGAAGCACCGGCUAACUCCGUGCCAGCCGCCGCGGUAAUUC
rnacentral:rRNA from 1 species